UGUCAGCGGUUUUCAGUCAACAGCUAAAUUUACCAAUCUAUUCAUGAAACGUAUUUCUUCUGCCCUCAUCCCCAUUUCCACCCAUCUCCGCCGCCGCCCACUGCAUUCAACUGGGCAGCUGCAUUAUCUGACGACGGAAGAGUUUGUUAUUUUCCAACUCAAGCCACCGUCGUAUAAUUCCCGCUUCACGCGUCUAUCCUAGCGUCGGCGAUGCUCCACCUCUAUACGAUGUGCCAGCAACUCCGUACAUAACUAUAGAAACCAUAACAUCAUUUUAAUAAGUUCGAACCCGGCAACAAUCAUGACCGAUCCGAAUUUAGCCGAUCGGAUCUACACUUGAAACUGCUAAUGAAAUUGGUGAAUUUCCGUUGAUCUUUAGGGCCGCUUUUACUUUAGGUGGGGCUGGUGGCGCCGUUGCGGAUUAUCGGAAAGAGUUUGAGGCAAUUUUGGCAGGGGCUCAUUUGAGCUAUUUUUAAAACAUUAAGCAUGUUUUUGAGACUGAGAAAUCAUGAAGAGUCAAUCUGUUCUUUAGCCUUAAACACUAAAGGCAUGUUUGAAGAACCUUAGCUGUGAGGUGUGGCAUGGUCAUGCAUCCUAUAAUCAGAAACCAUAUCAUAGAUUGAUGAUGGGAACUUGGGGAGCAAAAGUACAUCCAUCUCCAUCAAGCAUUACUGACGCGGGUAGGUAAAUCCUUCAGAAGGAUCCUGCGAGUAUUAGGAAUUGCUAUUUCAGAAGCUGUGGAGGUUGCAGCUGCAAAUGCUGAUACUAAGUAUCGCAGGACUCAGUUCUCCAUUCAUUAUCUGAAUUGGACUUUACAAGUGAUCAGAACCAUGCACUUGACCAGAAAUUAUACAGCUCAAGUUACGAUUCAGGUAUCGCGAGUUUGCUUCUUCUGGUGGAACAUCUUCAUAGUAUGCAUCUGCAAUCAAAUUCAAUGCGCCUUCCUGCUGUUGGCUGCCUGAUGUUUGCGUCUUCUUGCACCGCUCUACAGCCUCUACUCCUUUGCUAACAGGUGAGACCUUUCUUUUCUUGAACUCAUGGACACUACUGAUGUGGUCUUCUUUAUCCUUUGCAUGUUUGUUAUAUAUUAUACAACUGACAUAUACAUUGACCUGAAAACGAAAAAGAGCAGAAGGUUAGAACAUUGUCUUGUUUUCACAAUACAUAACAACCCAAAUUAUUAGAAUUUAAUUUGAGAAUAUAAGGAGUGGUGGUAAUUAAUCUAUGAAAGAUGUUAGUUUCAAUUAAAAUCAAAUUCAUCUAAAUAUUUAGGACAUUAUUUUAUAUUUUAAUUAAAAUUGAUUAUCAAAUUCUAAUACUCGUUAACUUAGGAUUCUAUUUUUCAAUUAUGGUUUCUUACACUCCAAUAUAGUUUCAUUCUUUGCAAAAAAAAAUUCUUUGGUAUAUGAUCAUGAGGUGGCUUGAACGGGUUUUGCGGAAGGCAAAAGUCUAACCUCAAGUUUUAAAUAACUGCAUAUAUGAUUAAAGUUCGUAUUUGCGACCUCACAUAAGGCACGAGAGCGUUUUACCAAUCCAUAUGCGCUUUGGGGUUAUUCUUUCCACAUUUUUAAUAUAAAGAAGUGGAAUGUUCAUUUAUGGAGUGAGAAAAGCUGUUCCCGUACAAAUAUGCAUAAUCAAUUUUAGGUUUUUUUUCUUCCAAAGCAUCAAUUUUAGGUUAAUAACAUAGUUAAAUUCAUUUGACUAAAUCUAAUCCAAUCAUAUUGACACCGAUAUUUAUAAUUAAUGAACAUAUAAUUAAAGGUUUGAAGUUAUGAAAAAUGUAAUAAUCUAAAAUCAAAUUAAUAUAAUAUACAUAGAUUAUAUUAACAAGUAAUAUUCUUUUUCAACAAUUAGAAAAGAGGAGCGUUUGUGGUAAAAAUUCAACCAGCAAUCUAACAAUUUGUUGCACGACGCUCAUAUUAACAUCAUGUAAUAAAAUUGAUUCAGACAUAUUGACAAAUGUAUGCUUUUUUGACAAUUAUGGACCAAUGUAUGUUAGAGGGGUGAUAUUAGUAUUAUUAUAAUUGUAUGAUUAUAUGAUUUGUGAAGCUUUCAAAUCACAUGUCAUGUAUGAUCCAUUAAAAUAGAUUAUAUGUAACUGCUUCGAUUUAUUCUCAGUAAAAUAAUCUUGAUUUUCCAAAAAAAAAAAGGAAUAUUAGUAUCCAAACUUCAAUUUUUGAUGAGGAAAUUAAACCCAACACUUUAUAACAGUUAAAUACUCACUUUCACGACGCAGGGUAUUUCCUUACAAAAUUAUGAUACACUUUUAUUCCCUUUUGAUUUUGUGCUUUUAUUUUCUAAUUUUACUGUUAUGCUUCUUUUCCUUCUUCGCGUUACAACGAUUUCAAUCCAAAUUAAGCCAUCAAUUUUCUAUUUUAUGAUGGCAGUCUUCAUUAAUUUGUCAAAAAUCUUCACGGCAUCAACAUUUCUCCGGUCAUGGCACGAUGGUUGUCAGAUCUUGCUCAUCUGAAAUUCUGAAUAUAAUAACCGUAAAUUCACCUUCAACAACCAUAUAUUUUCCAGCUCUUGCUCAUUUGAACAUACACAAUUUUAUUUAUGUGUCGCUGAUGUGUGGCAAUACCCAUCAGCGCACAUAGGCGUUACCUGAGCAAAAUUACAUAAUUGGAUAUUAUUGAAAUAAAAUCAUACAUUUCAGGACAAAUUGAAUAAAAUUGUAAAGUCUGCAAUUUUGUAAAAUUUUCAUAAAAGGUUUUGAUUUUUUUGGUCAUUUGGCCUAUAAAAUUAAAGCAUCGCAUGUCUGAACCGCUACUAGAUGCUAGUCUUAUAUUUCAAAUAAAUUAAUCAAAUUAGUAAAAAACUACUAAUUAGUCUAAAAGAUGUCAGUGGCUACCGACUCAAACUUAUCCUUCUUAUUUAAAGAAGAGUGCAAAAGAUAAAAGUAAACUUACAUUCAAUAAAUAGAAAAAUUAAUUUAUAGGUAAA